rnacentral:lncRNA from 1 species
CCCUGACUGUGGAAUAUUGAUGGACUAGAGCAGAGCUCUUGCCCAGGCUUUAGGAAAGUAUGAGAGGUUUUAAUAAGUAAUUGAGGAGAUAUAAAAAUGAGAGGCUGAACUGUAAGAUCAUGAAGCUUGUGAUUAGAAUUUUUCUUCUCUACAGUUCACAGCUGGUGAGUGACAUGCUCAAAACAGGGCUUAAGUAUGGCAACCCUGGCUACUAUCAUGCAGAAUCAUGGAAACAACCUCAUGUUUACCUCUGACUGGAUUUAGCAAGCUGCUCCAAAGAAAGACAGCCCAUGUCUCUGCAUACGCAACGACAUGUCCGUACUCCAGAUCACACCAUCUCUCGCCUGCACAACUGCAAUAACCUCUUUCUGCUCUUCCUACACUGGCGAUGCUACAAUACUUCAUCCUUCGGCUGACAGAGUGGUAUUUCCCAAAUUAUAAAUCAGAUCACAUCAGACCCCUGCAUAAGACCCUUAACUGGCUACCUACAGUCUUAGAAUUAAACCCCAACCCCUAAUACAGGCUAUAAGGCUCUCCAUGCUUUGGCAGCUGCCUCUUGCUGUUAUUUCCUCCUGUGUCCUCCCCAGAUCACUAGCCUCCAGUGACCCUUCUCUGCACCUCCUGUGCGCCCAGUUCUUUCCUGCCUUAGACCCUGCACUAGUUGUGCCCAUUGCCAAGCUGCUCUUCUCCUAAAUCCUCCCACCCCUGCAUCCUUCUCACUGAGGCUUCCUCUUCCAUAUCCCCCCCCAGCGAGGAUUUCCAUGACCUGCCCAGUUUGAAGUGCACCCUAACAGAUGCUCUCACUCACUAUCAACCCAUAUACACUGGCACGGUCACCUACACAAGACUGUCACUCACUGUCAACUCUACAUACAUUAUCAUUCCUACCCAUGCUUUCACUGUUAUCACUACACAUGCUGUCACUCCAUCUCACCAUCACACACAUGCCCUCACUGAUACCCCAUACACAGGCUGCCCCUCUCUGUCACCACUAUACAUGCUGUCAUUCACUGUCAAACCUACACAUGCUGUCCCUCCCUGUCACCCUAUACAUGGUGUCACUCACUAUCAUUCCUACACAUGCUGUCCUUCACUGUCACCCCUACACGUGCUGCCAUUCACUGUCACUCCUACACAGGCUAUCACUCACUCUCACCCCUACACAUGCUGUCCCUCACUGUCACCCCUACACAUGCUAUCACUCACUGUCACUCCUACACACAUUAACACUUGCUGUCACUCCUACACAUUCUCUCACACACUCAUGUCACUCGUACACACAUUGUUUCUCACUGUCACCCCUACAUACAUUGUCACUGACUGUCACCCAUACACAUGCUCUUACUCACUGUCACCCUACAUAUAUUACCAUUAACUGUCAUACCCACACAUGCUGUCACUGUCAUCCCUACACAAAUUGUCACUCACUAUCACCCCAUAUAUAUUGUCAUACAUGACCACCUUACACACAUUGUCACUCCCUGUCGCAAUUACACAUGCUCUCACUGUCACGACUACACACAUUGUCACUCACUGUUACCUCUACACACACUCACUCACUGUUACCCCUACAUAUGCUCUCACUUCAUCCCUAUGCCCAUUAUUAUCAUUAGCCCUAUACACAAACAUGUCACCCCUACACAUGUCAUCACUCUCAUCUCUGCACAUGCUCUCACUGUCACCCUGCACAUGCUGGUACUCCCUGUUACCCCACACACACUGAUGCUCACUUUCAUACCAACUUGUUCCAUUUUCAUAAUAGCUUGUAGCACAAUCUCAUACUUUGAUAUUUUGUGUUACUCUUAUCCCUC